GGUCUUUCAGGUCAUCUUUCAAGUUUUUUUUUCACAGCCAUGAGGUCUAUGAUCUCUCUCUUUAAGUGAAAGCUGAGAUUCACACACACUGGCAGAUUCCAGGGACUGGGGCUUUACGAAAAACACAAAGGCCAUGUUGACAGGACAAAAUUAUAUCGACCUAAUUUAUGUCGGCAUACAGCCGCCAUAGUUAUUAAAUCACUUGUGUGUGCUCACACUUGGCUCCUUGUGUCAGUGGCGUGUGUCCUCACCAGCAGCGCUUGUAUCAAUUGUAUUGUCUGUGGGGAUUUUGGGAUGGCUCCUGAAGGCCAGGAACCCUUGACAUAAGCAAAGUAGUGUCUGCACUGACACUGCUCCGACCUAAUCACAUCAUCUGUGACUCUACGCUGCUUGGGGAGUGGGUGUUACUAAAUCAGCAUAGAGAGGCACUGACUUUGAUAGGAGCCAAAUUUAAGUGAAGACAGUUCCACAGCUAGGUUGACACAAGACAGUUUAUGUCAAUCUCACCCUUUAGUAUAGAUCAUUAUCAAAAAUGGUUUAGGUGGACACUUUUUUUUUUUUUUAGUAGCAAUGGGCUGCCAAGGCAUUCAAGCAUCCAUAUCCAGAUUAGGUUUACAACCUAUGUAAGGUGGCGACCUCACCUCCACUGCAAAGGCCAAGAGUGGAUCGAGCAAGGAGGAGGAAAUACUGGAUGAAGAGUGGGAGGGAGACCCCGAGGCAGAGGACAACUCGGAGGUCAGAGCAGCCACGCGCCCUUCUCUACCCUGGAGGAGGCUAGCCAGUCACAGCUGUCGGAUCUUGGCGAAGUGCAAACAGAAGAGGAGGCCCAUGAUAUGGCCUGGGGAGCCCAGCCUCCCUCUUUGUUAUUGCUGGCUGAACAGCUGCGCACAACUAGAAAGCGGCCACGAAGAACUAAAGAGGACUUUCUGUGUGAAGUCACGAUGCUUUCCGUGGCCAAAAAAAAAGAAUUGAAGGAGUGCCAGGACAGUGAGAAGAGGGGCCGAAAGGAGAACGCAGCACGCCAGAAUGAAGCCACGGAGCAGCUCUUAAACGUUAUGGAGUGCCAAGCAGACAGGCUCCAGACUCUACUAGCACUGCAAACCGAGCAGUUCCGCACAUGCCCUCCCCUGCAGCUGCUGUCGCAGAACUCUUUCCCCUGCACCUCCCAGACACUGCCAGCACACUUAUCAGCCUCCUGGUUUCAGUCUGUACCCUCUGCAUUCCACUCCUGCCCCAUCACAGUCCAGCCCUGCACACUCCCAGUAUCCACUGCACUCAACACCUGUCCCUCUGCAGUUUAGCCCUGCUGAAGUACAGUACCUACUGCACUGUACUCCAGAGGACAAAGUUGCACAUGAUACCUGGACAUACACAAAUCUUUAACCGUCCCGGGACCCCACCUCCUCCUGGGACCCUCCCUUCCCCCCAUU